rfam:Felis catus isolate Cinnamon breed Abyssinian chromosome C2, whole genome shotgun sequence.
GCCUGGGUGGCUCAGUCGGUUAAGCGUCUGACUUCGGCUCAGGUCAUGAUCUCGCGGUCCGUGAGUUCGAGCCCCGCGUCGGGCU